UGGGGAAUUUUGGACAAUGGGCGCAAGCCUGAUCCAGCCAUGCCGCGUGUAUGAAGAAGGCCUUCGGGUUGUAAAGUACUUUUGUCAGGGAAGAAAAGCCUGGGGAUAACACCCCUGGGUCAUGACGGUACCUGAAGAAUAAGCACCGGCUAACUACGUGCCAGCAGCCGCGGUAAUACGUAGGGUGCGAGCGUUAAUCGGAAUUACUGGGCGUAAAGCGAGCGCAGACGGUUAUUUAAGCAAGAUGUGAAAGCCCCGGGCUCAACCUGGGAACUGCGUUUUGAACUGGGUAACUAGAGUGUGUCAGAGGGGGGUAGAAUUCCACGUGUAGCAGUGAAAUGCGUAGAGAUGUGGAGGAAUACCGAUGGCGAAGGCAGCCCCCUGGGAUAACACUGACGUUCAUGCUCGAAAGCGUGGGUAGCAAACA
rnacentral:rRNA from 2 species